rnacentral:rRNA from 1 species
AGAGUUUGAUCCUGGCUCAGGACGAACGCUGGCGGCGUGCUUAACACAUGCAAGUCGAACGGAAAGGCCCCCACCUUGGUGGGGGUGCUCGAGUGGCGAACGGGUGAGUAACACGUGGGUGAUCUGCCCUGCACUUCGGGAUAAGCUUGGGAAACUGGGUCUAAUACCGGAUAGGACCAUGGUUUAGCAUCUCAUGGUGGAAAAAUUAUUGUUUUGGUGCAGGAUGAGCUCGCGGCCUAUCAGCUUGUUGGUGGGGUAAUGGCCUACCAAGGCGUCGACGGGUAGCCGGCCUGAGAGGGUGGACGGCCACAUUGGGACUGAGAUACGGCCCAGACUCCUACGGGAGGCAGCAGUGGGGAAUAUUGCACAAUGGGCGCAAGCCUGAUGCAGCGACGCCGCGUGGGGGAUGACGGCCUUCGGGUUGUAAACUCCUUUCGUUAGGGACGAAGCCGCACUUUUUUUGGGUGUGGUGACGGUACCUUUGUUAAGAAGCACCGGCUAACUACGUGCCAGCAGCCGCGGUAAUACGUAGGGUGCGAGCGUUGUCCGGAAUUACUGGGCGUAAAGAGCUCGUAGGUGGUUUGUUGCGUCGUCUGUGAAAUUCCGGGGCUUAACUUCGGGGUGGCAGGCGAUACGGGCAUAACUAGAGUGCUGUAGGGGAGACUGGAAUUCCUGGUGUAGCGGUGGAAUGCGCAGAUAUCAGGAGGAACACCGAUGGCGAAGGCAGGUCUCUGGGCAGUAACUGACGCUGAGGAGCGAAAGCAUGGGGAGCGAACAGGAUUAGAUACCCUGGUAGUCCAUGCUGUAAACGGUGGGCGUUAGGUGUGGGGACCGGUUUGGUUUCUGUGCCGUAGCUAACGCAUUAAGCGCCCCGCCUGGGGAGUACGGCCGCAAGGCUAAAACUCAAAGGAAUUGACGGGGGCCCGCACAAGCGGCGGAGCAUGCGGAUUAAUUCGAUGCAACGCGAAGAACCUUACCA